CUGCGGGUUCUGCUCCUCCGCCGUCGAGCUCACCUCCGCGUACGAGCUGCAUCCAGAUCAACACAACAGUGAAAGGUAAGUUCUUAGCUGUUAUUACUGCAACGAACGUAACGAGUAACGACACAAGCAAGGUAAAAAUGUUGCAGAAAUCUGAACUUCUGCGCUGUAGAAGUAACCGUAUGCAGCAUUCAGUAACAAUGAUCCAUCAGUAAAACUCACACAUUUUGAUCAGAUAAAAGCUCAUUUGAUAAGCAUUCAGAUCAACACAACAGUGACAGGACAUUUCUUAGUUGUUGUUUCGGCAACAAAUGCACCAUUCCUAACUACUCCCUCCGUUUCAGGUCAUACGACGCUUUAAACUCAAUCCGAAAUCAAUAAUUGAAUAUAUUUUCAUUAUAAAUUUGUCUUGGGUCGAAGAUGUUACUACUUUUUUCUACAAACUUAAAAUAGUUUGACUUUGACCAAAAGUCAAAACGUCUUAUAACCUGAAACAGAGGGAGGAGUACACAAAUUCUACAACAGUGCAUGGUAAAAAGGUUGCAGAAAUCUGAACUUUUGUGCUGUACAAUCAGCCAUGCAUUAUUCAGUAACAGUGAUGGGACCAUCAGUAAAACACACAUUUUGAUCAGAUUAAAAGGUCACAUUUGACAUUACCAUAGUACUACUAUUUGUGAGUUGUGACUAGGCACAGAACUGUCAGAGCACUGCAAGCACCAGUGUGUGAGCAGAAAGUGCAAACUACUUUAUUUCAUAGUACAUUGCAGUGACAAGUACUGAAUUGUUAGGAGUUCUUGUCUGGCAAUGCUUGUCAAGAUACAGGAAUCAGCAGUUCAGACUGUUUGAGAAGAUAAACACUAUACAGCCUAGCUUUAUUCAGACAAGAACAGCUGGCUGUUCCAUGCAUUGCUAGCAUGGACUCCAGGAACUUGUUCAAUCUGUCCGUAGAGCACUCAGGAACACAAGCUCAAUCCGAAAUCUAAAUUCCAAGCAUGUGCAGACAUAAUCAAGCCUUUGUAUGGAUCAAAAGGAGAGGGAGCUAAUUGGUGGUUGGUAAUAUCAUUGCAACUUGCUUGACAGCUAUAGCUGAGGUAUUUCGACCUGACGCCGAUUGGUCAUCGAUUAUUUUAGAACCCAUGUGAUAUAAACAUCAAGAGAGCCAUCGAUUAUCAACCAUGUUAAUAAUUAGAUGCCAUGUGGGACUUGAAACUUAUCCAUAAAAUUGCUUGUUGUAAGCAUACAACAUGCUAGGACAGGCAACAAAAUCCUCAAGGCCCUGUUUGGAUAGGGAGGGCUUGGAUUCAAAUCUUUGGCUUUGGGUUCAAAUUUGAACUAAGUACAAAAAAGAAAAUCCAAGGCAGAUCAUAUCAGCUGCACAUAUUACGCACACCAUAAGGACAUAUUUAGGCUGGAAACAAGUUAAUGAGCAUAGUGUGGCGCAAGCAGUUGACUUGAAGAAUUUUCACCUUAAAGUUAACAAAAUUUCUCAAAAUAACUACAGCGAUGAUGCACAUGCAUACGGCUAUGCAUACAAAACACAAUUUGGAAAUAAAUACUAAUGGUUAGUACUUAGGUAGUAUCAGUAUCAGACUAAGAAGUCAAGGAAUAGCUCAAGAGAAACAAUUCAAUAUCAUUGAAAUAUCAGGAGUUGGCAAUACCUUGAAAUGGUGCUGAUUAUAGAUUUUGUAGUUGCAACAUCACAAAGGAUAUGUCAGUGAAAAAAUUACCUUAAACAUCGAAGCAAGUUCUCUGCAGCAGAAGCUUCCUGCAUAGCUUCAACAGCAGCCAUUUGUGCUGCAUCCCUGUACUUCAGAAGCUCCUGUGAAAAGUUGGAUGCAAUUAAAUAUUCAAUAUGACAUUAAUGAAGCAUUCAACAGCUACAGAGAAAAAUGAUCUCCAAUUCUUUCAUCCUUCAAUCCUCUGGACAGUAUGACUAAAAUGGUAUAGUAAAAUUGCUUUGUUGAUGCCCAGGGGAACUGGAGCCAUCAUUUCACAUAGUAAAACAGGGCUUGUCCAUCGUUUCUUUUGUUAAGUAUAUAUUUGUGCAAAGACAAAAAUUAAAUUAGCACCCUCAAAAUUGCAAAAGGUUUUGCAAUGCUAGACCUAUUGUAGCAAACAGCCAUAGUGAACACAUCAAUGAGCCAACCUAUGCGAACAUGUGAAUGAGCAUAUUCAUACCUUCCCUAAUUUAGCAAGUGAAGGAGGAAGUGAUGUCCAUGAAGCGCUAGCAUCUGUCAACUUUUUGCUGUUUGAAGCAAUCUUCACUAGAUUUGUAAUAUUUGUGUUGCUUGAAACUCCAGACGUCCUCCUCAAAGGAGAAGAAGGCUUAUUCACUAUUUUCUCAGAAUCAUCUGAAGGGGCACUUGCUGAGCUCUUCCUUGGAGGAGUCUGAAUCUUACUGUCAUCCUUAUGCAAUGGCUUCUCUUCUACUAGUGGUUUGCGUCUUGGAGUCUGAUAACAAAAGAGCCAGCAAAGAUUAGUAACUUUGGAAAAAAAAAAGAUGGGCAAUAAAGGAUCAAACAUGAAUUCAAAUGUUACUGAAAGGCUACAAUGUGUUAAGGGCUUAAGGCAAUAGCUUAAGUACUACAUGAAGGAUACUCAAUAAAGUAAAUCACGCCACAUUUGUAGACAAAUAUAACUGAUAAGCGUUGACAACAACCGCACGUACCGAUGUGCUUCUAUUCUCAGACUUCUUCUCAGUUUUGGCUGCCUUUGAAUCUGAAUUUCCUUUGCUCUUUGCUUCUGCAUUCCCUUCCCAGCUUCUUCUCAGGGCCUUUGGUCCCGAUUCAAUACUUGACAUGGUGUUACUAAGCAAGUUACCUGCAGAGGACUUCCUCCCUGCUGUAGUAGCCUUCAAAACAGAAGCAGCUUUCUCUAACAAGGAAAGCCUAGAAGGUGAUGACUUAUCUGCUCCUUUUGAUUUUGUUCUCUGCUUUAUGUCAUUCGAGAAUCUCUCAAAUGAUGCCGGUAGAGAAUAAACGCUGGUCGGAGAUGAAGGUGUCGACCUAGCACUGGUAGGUUUUGUCUUUGAGCUGACUACUUCCUUCUUGUCUAUAAUGCUAUUCAAUGCUUGUUUCGAGAGAGAAGAGUUUGAUUUGGUUAACUGUGGUUUCUUGAUUUCUGCCCCAUUGUUUUUCACUGAAGGUUUUAAUUUCUCCAAUUUGCUCUGCUCCUUUUCUAGUGAUAAAGUACUGGCAUCCUUUGACCCGUUGAUGGAUUGUUGUGCCUUCUUACUUCCGAGAAAAGUGGAGUUUGUUACCACAAGAUCUUCUGGACUGCCAACACAAGCAUGCCGACCUGGAACUGGCCUGACUCCCCUCAAGAUUGGCACCGGAGUGGCUGCCUCAAGACGGUCUACAUGGAUGAACUGUCCCAACUGAAUUGUGUCGCUCAAUAUGAGAUCAUGCUGCUCUUCUGGUAAGGAAACGUAUGUUGCGUGCGAGGAAUCGGACACCUUGAGAUAGAAACCCUGGUUGGUAAACAGAUCACUCCCUGCAAGGGCCGGAACAAUGCUGACCACCUGAAGAAGGGACGAACGGUGCUCGCCGGCAACUUUAACAUCGCUGUUCAUGUGCUGAAGGAGCUUGAGAAGGACCCCGGGUACCAGCGAAGCCAUUGCUGUCGACUCUAAAGCACAUUACCUGCAAAUGUUAAGCACAAUUCAGAAAUCACAGUAAUCAUACAGAGGACUUCAAAGAAUUAUUAGAACUUGAAAGUGACAAAAGUCUAAUGAGUUAAUAGUCGACAACCUGGGUAGUCCUAACGAAAAUGAAAUCACCAACAACCAAAUGUAAUAAAGGUUGCAACUUUACAGUGAAACUCAAUCCAGGCUAACAUGUCGGUAGCACAAACCGUUUUGAUGGCUCACAGUGAACACGAAACCAAUGCAUUUUGUCAGUAAAUGCUAACUAGUAAUAUGGCUGGAAAUUGUCACUGGAAUUGAAACCAAAGCACAACAAUUUGCUACUCCCAUUUUGCUGAACCAUAAAAAGCAUACCAAACUCAAUGAGCACGAAAGGUGCCAUUAACUACAACAUUUUGAGUGCAGAAAGGAGAAGACAAGUACACCUAGCUGCCCAACAAUACUGCUUGGAAUGAAGUCAAGCAUCGAAUAAAUAGAGGUGUACUCGAAAUGGAGGCUGCAAGGAGCAAGGACUAAGUAGAGCAAUUUUUUUUCUAGGAAAUGCAUUUAAUUCAAUCCGAAUGGGAUACUAUACGAGUACAAGUAAGGUGUGAGCAGAUCCAGUGAGGACCUCAAACACAAUCAAAUAGGAGUCCCAUGAUAGAAUCAAAGUGGACCUGUCCCAGAACUAUAUACCAACAGAGAUACAGAAGGAGAAAGCACAAUCAAAUCUUGAGCAAAAGAACCCAUUUUAAGCAGCAGCUGCAGAACUGCCAUUGAUCGAUAGAGUAACAAGCAAUCUUCGACUAGCAACUUGUUAUGGAAUCAUCAUAGUUCCAAAACGUACUUCAGAGGGGGGAAAAACAGAACAGAAUAUAGAAAGAUGCUGCUCGAAGAAAUCAUGGGAGGAAGAGAAGAAAAGAAGGGACAUUUCUGACGAACUCCAUCAACAUCACAGAUACAAGAGACAAAUCUAGAAGCAGCAUAAAGAAUACAGUAAGAUGGAGAAGAAGAAGAAGAAGCAGAGGGACGCGAGCACACACCUCUCAAGCCUCUCAACACAAGCCUCGCGAAUCCCCCCUCAGCCUAAUGGCAAUCCGAGCCUAAUUAUCCCCUCCUUGCUCCUCCCGUGAAGACGAUCCUUCUCCCGAUUCUUCUUCUACCUCUCGUUCUCAGCCUCUCACCUCCAGUGCAGUGCCGCCUCUCCUCUGCAGAGCCUAACCAAUGAUUCUUCUUUCUGCCGCUUGCUCUGCUUCUCCCUCCCCCGCCGGUUGGCUUCUUGCGGCGGUGCCAGUCUCUCUCUCGCUUCGCUUCUCGGUGAAAGAGGAGAGAGGCGACUGUGGUGUGGUGUGGAGUGUGGAGGCGAGAGCACGCUACGCUGAGCUCUGCGCUGCAAGUCUGCAAGCACAGGGGGGAAGCAGGAGGCACUGUGGCAAAGUUAUUUGGGAAAAGCUUCGAGCUCUCUCUCUCUCUCUCUCUCUCUCUCUCUCUCUCUCGAUUGUAGGGAUUGUACAUGUGGGGCCCGGGAAGUCAGUGGGUGGGUGCCUGGGUGGUGCUAUUGUUGAGGUCAGGCGUCGUUUUCAAUGGGGCAAAGUGGAGUUCCAAGGACAAUUUGGAGAAAGGGAAAGCCUUUUUUUUUUCUUUUAGUUACUGCUCCAACUGUGAAAGUUUUCACCCAAAAGUUAAAAAACAAUCUUGACAUGGUUUUAUGCUUACAACAUUUGGGUAAACAAUGGCAAUGCAAAAGCCCUAAUACACGUCAUAAAUAUCCGACCUUUAGAACGAGAUUCGAUUGCUCUUUCAAAAUAUCGAUCAUCGAUAUUUCCUGGCAUACUUGGAUUUAAAGCAAAAGAAAAAUCGUGUUCUAAACAAUUUAUGAUAGAGGGAGCAUAUUACAAGCUUAAGCUCUAUUUCCUCCAACCUAAAAUAUAACACCCGAAGUAGAGAUAGGAGUAUAUUCUACUCCCUUCAUCCCAAUUUAAUCAUCAUCUAAGAUGUUUUCAAAAUAAUAAUUAUUUAAUAAAUUGCUUCUUUUUUUAUUUGUGUAAAGAGUACAUGUGCAUUGUGAAUGCCCCACAUGCAUACAACAAAUCAAGAUUGAUUUCUAUUAGUUCAACCCAUACAACAUUUAAAGUGUGAAUUAACUUGUUGAACAUGAAGCGACGGAGCACCUUUGAUCGAUGAGGAUUAAUUUCAGAAUGUUGGAUUAGUGUAUUUGGUCUUGAUGCCCUCUAUUUAGGGGAUGAUCAAAUUAAGAUAAAGAUACUAGUAAAUAUUAAUCUAGACAAGGGUUUUGUUCAGAUUCGUAGUAGUACGACGUGUCUUAUUUUGUAUUAGGUUGUUAUAUUUUGGAUCGGAUAGAGUAUUUGAUAUAGUAAGGUUUUGUGUGCUGUUGUCUAAGAAAAUUGUAGUAAUAGUAGGAGUUUUGCAAGAAUUUAUUUAGUUUUUGUACAAAAUUUGUGGGUUAGAAACUGACAUGGUGGGACCUCCUGGGAGAAGUCAAUUUCUCAUAAAAGCACCAAGCUCAUCUCAUAUUCAUCAGGUCAUUAAGAUGUGGUUGGUUGUGACUUAAGAUAAGCACCCAAGCUUGAGUGCAGAUCAAGUGUUCUUUUCUUUCUCCUGCAGACUGCAGUAACCAUGAAAUGGUCCAAUCUAAUUUGGUCAACGACUGUACGCAGAAUCAAAAAUCGGACUACCGACAGUCUGUCUCUGCAGUACUCCAGUUUGACUUCAGAUUGUAAUGUACUCCAACUAAUCCAUGUUAUAGAAAGGGUUAAAUUUAACCAAACACAUUGAUAUUUUGUAGAUUUCAGAUAAGUACAUUUUCCUGAAAAUGAUUAAUGUUCAGGCCAGCCCCCAUUUUGGUCAAGCGUCAGAAUAAUACAGUCGCUGCCGAUGAUUAAUUGAUAGGGAUCUCCUAACCACUGUCGUAUAAUUUGCAUUGCCGGUUGGUAAACUAAUUGCCAGAGUAUUUUUAUGCCUGUAUUAUGUCGUCGUGUAUUGGAGCCGUCGAUAUCAUUGCACCAGCCAAAGUACUUAGUUUUAAUAACUCAAAAUUUUAUCAUUGAUUUGGUUUAGUUCGACCUUAUCUGCAUGUGGUUCUAGUAAUGCAGCAGCUAGUUGAUAUCAUUGAUCAUACUCUCUACAAGACUACAAACAUGUGUACACAUUUGAUAUCUUUCACAUUCAUGUAUGUACAAAUAAAAUUCUGAAGCAGAACAGGAUGGAAAUUGCAGAAGUUCACUUGAAAAGCAAGGAACAGAGCUCCACUUUUUCUCGAAACGAAAAACAAAAACCAUGCGGUUCUGAACCCAAGUGCUCGAAGAAACAAAAAGUCAGAUAAAAAAUGGCCUCGAAUUAGUGGCAGCAAGGUACUAACAGUACCAUAAUAGUACUAUUAGCUGUCUCACUCCAUUAAUCUGGGGAAAUUUAUGUACUUGUUUUGCCUGCCUUUGCUCAAUUUGCAAGGCAUCACUGUAGUACUGUCCAAGAACAAACCUGCUUAAUUCGUUCAUUCUUUCAGAUGAGUUAAGUAAAACCACUUGAUCCAUAUGUACAAUACCUUCUGUAUAUAUUUUUUUAGAAAAUUGAUUAAAACCCAGCCUCUACAUCUAAAUCAAAAGUACAUAACCAAAAUACAAGAGUAAUUAGACAGACUCGACUGCUUCUAGUUUCUGGACAGUUAAAACUUUCAGUCUGGCAGCAAAGCAACCAAGUGACACCCAUGAUGGUGAGAGUGAGAGAUGUUAGGCUGUAGUAGCUUUCUGGGAAAUAAUUAACCAGUUCAGAUCUGCAUAUUAUCAAAAGCAUUUGCAUUGGUUCAUGCAUGCAUGGAUGGCUGCAGCCUAGCCCUGCAUGGAUGGUCCAUAUAGAUCAUCACACAUCACAACAACUGUGGCUUAACUGAAAAACGGUUUGGUGAGCAUGUGCUUUCUCCCAGCCUCCCACCAAUCUCAACGCAUACAAAAACGGAUUUAAUCUUGGAUUUAUGCUAAGUUAAUCUCCUUUUUAAUACCUCUCGGUUUUGGCAUGCGCAUGUGGCUGCUGCACAGGAUGUCGGCGCCAACGUGGGAUGUGAAUGUGAUGCUGCUGCUGCUUCUGCAAUAAUCACUGGAUGACAGGCAAGCAUCACACUGCAUGCAGACAACCGUAACGAAAUAAACAGGAGUAGGAGUAUAAUUUUACAGAUCAGAUAAAUUUGUUGUUUUGAAAUAUUAAUCAUGUACUAGAUCUGUC
rnacentral:lncRNA from 1 species